GUUUUACACAAUAAAAGAAUUUUUUAAAAAACAAAAUCAAGUUUUUGUGUCUCCAUUUUCUGAAUGACGGUAACAGUUUGAUUCGUAAUAUUUUGGACUAUAUUGGACUUUUUGAUCGCUUGGUAUUACACUUUUUGUGAUAUAGGGUGACAAAAAAUGGAUAGUGUAUUGCAGUGCAUUGUGACUUACUAAGCCUGAUCAGGCUCCUGCCUCUGGCAGGACCUGUCAGGCUUAGAUACCAUGGCAAGUCUGGAUGCCUGUGAAAACGUCUGGUUGGCAUGGUAACCAUUGGGACGCUGCCACACCAGCGGCCCAUAGAGAGAGCUCCCUCCCAGUUAACCCCUUCCAUACAGCAGUCCCUACGGACCGUGGCAUGGUAGUCUUUAAACGGCUGACAUCGGUGGCAGCACAGAUGUCGGUUCUAGCAACAGAGUGUCAGCUGAAUGUUACAGCUGACACUUUACUGCUAUGCUGCUACUGCUUGACCAUCCCGGGGGAUAAGGCCUGAGGGUGUUUGUUCGGUGGUCCCACUCAGCCAUCCUGAAUUGGGGGGAUUGUGACAUUGUGGGGGCUACAGAGACUCAACAGCGCAGCUCCUUUCUACUCAACACUCACUGACAGGUUGAGAUCGGAGCUGCGCUGCAGGAUUUGAGGGACCGCUCUGAGUGGACGCCUGUUGGGUGCAGUCAGUGACACCAGUUUGCAUGCCGGUGUCACCGCACUUGCAGUGACACGUUGGAUUUAAUGACGUACUGUGUACAUCCUAGGUCAUUAAGGGGUUAAAGGCACAUACACAGAUAAUUGCUACUAAUCGGAUGACUUUCUAGGUGAAAAAUUGCUCCAGCUGUUGCAAAUAAUCAGCAGCGCCACAUGUGUUCAGAGGAAGUGCCUGGUAUUGUAGUGGAGUGCGAUCUUAGUCACACAUGGACAGACGGGAUACAAUAUUGGGGCUCAUUUACUAAAAACUGGCGCCUCACACACCAGUCAAUGAAAACCGCAUGCCUUUUAAUAAAUUUGUUGCAUCUGUGCUCUCCCUGCGCAAGAAGCCGAAACGUGUAUAGCCAGUUUUCUGUUGUAAAUUAUAGUAAAUGUAAGGGCCGUGCUGGGCUGCAGGAAUUUGUGACUUUUGUACACCAGAAAACGGGCAUACUUUGUAGACCUUAUGAAUCAUUAUUGUAUUGCUGUAUCUAUAAUAUCUGUGCCAGUACUGCAUGCAGACAACUGCACCCUGCUCACAAUAUCACCAGUGCACCACAGCUUGCUGUCUGUGAAUUGCACCAAUGCCACAAGUAUGUGUUACAUGUCACCCAGCAGAUAUUUUGGGUGCUGUUCGCUAUAUCAUGAUUUUGUUUACAACGGAGCCAUUAAAGCUAUGCGGGAAGCAUAUACCGGCAAACCUUGGUGGAUAAAAUUGACUUUAAUGGGAUCCAUCAAUGUGCCAAAAAUAGCGCUGUAGACUGUGAUACUCUUGCCAAAAAUAUUGUGAAGUUCGGGGGAAAGCCCUAGAGGUUCUGAAUAUAGAUGUGAACAAAGCCUUAUUUCUGAGUAUUACUACAUAUGUAAUAAAUGAUAAGAAUUAUCCUACUGGUAUCCAGAAAUGUAACAAACACCAGCCUUAGUAUAAAGUAGAUCGGCGAAGAAUGGGCCAAAUGUAUUAAGAACCACAGACCUCUUAAUAAAUUAGGCACAUUCCCAGGCACCAGAAGUUCACAUCCUCACCAGCUAUGAGAGGGCAUAGGUUUGAAAUAUCAUUUAAACCUGUUUCUACUACUGGGCAGUGGGAGGCCAUGAACCUGCCCAAGUCCCGCUCAUUUUCCCACCUAGCUUUUGAAAAGUGGCAAGAUAAGUGAAAAGCCAUAAAUUAUGGUGUAAAAUAUAGAAUCAAUAUCUACAUAAUUUGAAACUUUCGUACACCACAACGUCCCUGAAUAAAUCUUGUGCCCUUUCUAGAGGUUUGCAAAGGAAGCAUGCCGCAUUAAAAUUCCAUCCAGCAGUCAGUAAGAGAAGGCGCUAGACUAGAUCCCAGUAGCGCAGCAGGAGCUAAAUACUUUGAGGUAUUCUCACACUGCUAUGGUGGAUACUGAUGUCGCAGUGCAGCACAUAAAUAAUAGGCUUCUCUUGUGAAGAGAAUGACAAAAGUAAAAA